UUAUUGGAGAGUUUGAUCCUGGCUCAGGACGAACGCUGGCGGCGUGCCUAAUACAUGCAAGUCGAGCGAAUCACUGGGAGCUUGCUCCCGGUGGUUAGCGGCGGACGGGUGAGUAACACGUGGGCAACCUGCCUGUAAGACUGGGAUAACUUCGGGAAACCGGAGCUAAUACCGGAUAAUUUCUUCCCUCGCAUGAGGGAAGGUUGAAAGUCGGUUUCGGCUGACACUUACAGAUGGGCCCGCGGCGCAUUAGCUAGUUGGUGAGGUAACGGCUCACCAAGGCGACGAUGCGUAGCCGACCUGAGAGGGUGAUCGGCCACACUGGGACUGAGACACGGCCCAGAC
rnacentral:rRNA from 1 species